UUCGCUGAAUAUUUUCUAUUGAGUAAUAAAGAAAAAGUUUUGGAAGUUGAAGAUAUGUUGCUUAAUAAUGAAUUCAAAAUAAAUUUUAUCAAAAGAAUAAAAACAUUUGGAGGAACAGAUGUUGCACAUUUUAUUAAGACUUGCCUUCAGAAAUUGAUUUCAAAUGAACUAUCAACCCAAAUUCUUUUACUGGAAAGGCGUUUAAAAAGUCGUCUGAUCCAAAGAUGGCCUUGAUCAAACUUAAACUGUUUCAAGUCAUAUGUGAUGUUGGAAGAAACCUUUACCCAAGUUACACUAAUGACAUGGUUCAAAAAUCUGUUACUGGAUGG